rnacentral:rRNA from 2 species
GAGAAAAACUAACCAGGAUUCCCCUAGUAACGGCGAGCGAACCGGGAAGAGCCCAGCUUGAAAAUCGGAGGGCCUCGCCCCUCGAAUUGUAGUCUGGAGAAGCGUCCUCUGCAUCGGACCGGGCCCAAGUUCCCUGGAACGGGACGAGAGAAAGGGUGAGAUCCCCGUCGAGCCCGGACCCUGAUGCUCCACGAGGCGCUGUCGGCGAGUCGGGCUGUUUGGGAAUGCAGCCCUAAGCGGGUGGUAAAUUCCAUCCAAGGCUAAAUACCGGCGAGAGACCGAUAGCGAACAAGUACCGCGAGGGAAAGAUGAAAAGGACUUUGAAAAGAGAGUUAAAGAGUGCUUGAAAUUGCUGGGAGGGAAGCGAAUGGAAGCUGCGGGUGCGCCCCGGUUGGAUGCGGAACGGCGCUAGCUGGUCCGCCGCUCAACGCGGGGCGCUGGUCAGUGUGGGCCGUCGCGGCGGGACAAGAGCCGGCUUUCGUUGCCGGCCGAUGCCGUUGUGGCGGCCGAGGAACGAAGCGCGCGCCCUUCUGGGCGGGCCCCUCGGGGCACCUGCGCGCUCGGGACGCUGGCGCAUCGAGCUCUCCAUCCGACCCGUCUUGAAACACGGACCAAGGAGUCUAACAUGUAUGCGAGCCGGUGGGCGGCAAACCCAUUGAGGCGCAAGGAACCUGACAGGUGGGAUCCCCCUUUCCGGGGGAGCACCAUCGACCGACCGUGAUCUUCUGUGAAAGGUUUGAGUGCGAGCAUGCCCGUUGGGACCCGAAAGAUGGUGAACUAUGCCUGAGCAGGGCGAAGCCAGAGGAAACUCUGGUGGAGGCUCGUAGCGAUACUGACGUGCAAAUCGUUCGUCAGACUUGGGUAUAGGGGCGAAAGACUAAUCGAACCAUCUAGUAGCUGGUUCCCUCCGAAGUUUCCCUCAGGAUAGCUGGAGCUCGUGCACUAGUUUUAUCAGGUAAAGCGAAUGAUUAGAGGCAUCGGGGGUGUAACACCCUCGACCUAUUCUCAAACUUUAAAUAGGUAAGAUGCCUGGGUUGCUCGGUUGAACCCCGGCGCGGAAU